rnacentral:rRNA from 1 species
CCUACGGGUGGCAGCAGUGGGGAAUAUUGGACAAUGGGCGAAAGCCUGAUCCAGCCAUGCCGCGUGUGUGAAGAAGGCCUUCGGGUUGUAAAGCACUUUCAGUGGGGAAGAAAGCCUUGGGGCUAAUACCCUCGAGGAAGGACAUCACCCACAGAAGAAGCACCGGCUAACUCCGUGCCAGCAGCCGCGGUAAUACGGAGGGUGCGAGCGUUAAUCGGAAUUACUGGGCGUAAAGCGCGCGUAGGCGGUCUGAUAAGCCGGUUGUGAAAGCCCCGGGCUCAACCUGGGAACGGCAUCCGGAACUGUCAGGCUAGAGUGCAGGAGAGGAAGGUAGAAUUCCCGGUGUAGCGGUGAAAUGCGUAGAGAUCGGGAGGAAUACCAGUGGCGAAGGCGGCCUUCUGGACUGACACUGACGCUGAGGUGCGAAAGCGUGGGUAGCAAACAGGAUUAGCUACCCUAUAGUC